rnacentral:lncRNA from 1 species
UGGCACUCAAGCAAGAAAAAGUCUCUAAUUGAACCAGCAAAGGCCGAUCAAGUAGCUGGAAUAGCAGCCCAAAAUUUCAGCUAGUUGAGAGGAGGGAAGCUUGACAAUUUGAGAAGUUUUCUUUUACAAGAUUCAGUUCGUAAUUCAUGUUGUUUACAAUUGAUUCUUGCCUUGUUUUACUUGCUAUGAGUGGCUAAAUUACUUAAGCUUAGUUAGACACUUAUGAAACCGAGCAUAAGGGAUUUGAAGAUUUAUUUUGUUCUAAAUUCAAAUUCGGUAUUCUUGAAUUGUUUGUUUUAUCGCUCAAGGAAUUUUUCUAAAUCAAUUG